GAUGAACGCUGGCGGCGUGCCUAAUACAUGCAAGUCGAGCGAACAGACGAGGAGCUUGCUCCUCUGACGUUAACGGCGGACGGGUGAGUAACACGUGGAUAACCUACCUAUAAGACUGGGAUAACUUCGGGAAACCGGAGGUAAUACCGGAUAAUAUAUUGAACCGCAUGGUUCAAUAGUGAAAGACGGUUUUGCUGUCACUUAUAGAUGGAUCCGCGCCGCAUUAGCUAGUUGGUAAGGUAACGGCUUACCAAGGCAACGAUGCGUAGCCGACCUGAGAGGGUGAUCGGCCACACUGGAACUGAGACCCGGUCCAGACUCCUACGGGAGGCAGCCUUAGGGAAUCUUCCGCAAUGGGCGAAAGCCUGACGGAGAAACGCCGCGUGAGUGAUGAAGGUCUUCGGAUUGUAAAACUCUGUUAUUAGGGAAGAACAAAUGUGUAAGUAACUAUGAACGUCUUGACGGUACCUAAUCAGAAAGCCACGGCUAACUACGUG
rnacentral:rRNA from 1 species